rnacentral:rRNA from 1 species
GGACUACAGGGGUUUCUAAUCCUGUUUGCUCCCCACGCUUUCGCGUCUCAGCGUCAGUCACGUCCCAGCGAGCUGCCUUCGCCAUUGGUGUUCCUCCUGAUAUCUGCGCAUUUCACCGCUACACCAGGAAUUCCACUCGCCCCUUCCGGACUCUAGUCAGACAGUAUCCACCGGCAUUCCAGGGUUGAGCCCUGGACUUUCACAGCAGACUUACCUGACCGCCUACACGCUCUUUACGCCCAAUAAUUCCGGACAACGCUUGCACCCUACGUAUUACCGCGGCUGCUGGCAC